UACGAAGGGGGCUAGCGUUGUUCGGAUUUACUGGGCGUAAAGCGCACGUAGGCGGAUUGUUAAGUGAGGGGUGAAAUCCCAGGGCUCAACCCUGGAACUGCCUUUCAUACUGGCAAUCUUGAGUCCGGAAGAGGUGAGUGGAACUCCUAGUGUAGAGGUGGAAUUCGUAGAUAUUAGGAAGAACACCAGUGGCGAAGGCGGCUCACUGGUCCGGUACUGACGCUCAUGCACGAAAGCGUGGGGAGCAAACAGG
rnacentral:rRNA from 1 species